GAUAACUAUGCUUGCCAAAGCUUUGAGCGUGGCAUUGCUGCUCAGGAGACUGGUGUUUUUUCAUGGGAGAUAGUUCCCGUUGAAGUUUCUGGUGGAAAGGGAAAACCAACAACAGUCGUUGAUAAAGAUGAAGGCCCUACUAAGUAUGACCCUGCCAAAUUCAGAAAACUUAGACCAAGUUUCAAAGCAGAUGGAGGCACUUCUGGAAAUGCUUCUAGCAUUAGGUUUGUCACUUACUCGUGGAUG